GUUGUUGCAGUUAAAAAGCUCGUAGUUGAAUUUCGGAAUCAAUGUUUCGGUCAUGCCGUUGGUAUGUACUGAUAUUAUUGAUUUCUCACCUUCUAAAGAACCGUAAUGCCAUUAAUUUGGUGUCACGGGGAAUUAGGACUGUUACCUUGAAAAAAUUAGAGUGUUUAAAGCAGGCUCACGCUUGAAUACAUUAGCAUGGAAUAAUGAAAUAGGACAUCCGAUUCUAUUUUGUUGGUUUCUAGGAUCGAUGUAACGAUUAAUAGGGAUAGUUGGGGGCAUUAGUAUUCAAUUGUCAGAGGUGAAAUUCUUGGAUUUAUUGAAGACUAACUACUGCGAAAGCAUUUGCCAAGGAUGUUUUCAUUAAUCAAGAACGAAAGUUAGGGGAUCGAAGACGAUCAGAUACCGUCGUAGUCUUAACCAUAAACUAUGCCGACUAGGGAUCGGAUGAUGUUAAUUUUUUAAUGACUCAUUCGGCGCCUUACGGGAAAC
rnacentral:rRNA from 1 species